GGAGUUAGCCGGUGCUUCUUCUGCGAGUAACGUCACAGAUGUAAGGUAUUAACUUACACCCUUUCCUCCUCGCUGAAAGUGCUUUACAACCCGAAGGCCUUCUUCACACACGCGGCAUGGCUGCAUCAGGGUUUCCCCCAUUGUGCAAUAUUCCCCACUGCUGCCUCCCGUAGGAGUCUGGGCCGUGUCUCAGUCCCAGUGUGGCUGAUCAUCCUCUCAGACCAGCUAGGGAUCGUCGCCUAGGUGAGCCUUUACCUCACCUACUAGCUAAUCCCACCUGGGCUUAUCCAUCAGCGCAAGGCCCGAAGGUCCCCUGCUUUCCCCCGUAGGGCGUAUGCGGUAUUAGCAGUCGUUUCCAACUGUUAUCCCCCACAAAUGGGCAAAUUCCCAGGCAUUACUCACCCGUCCGCCGCUCGUCAUCUUCAAAAGCAAGCUUUUGAAAUGUUACCGCUCGACUUGCAUGUGUUAGGCCUGCCGCCAGCGUUCAAUACUGAGCCAGAAUACAAACUACUGA
rnacentral:rRNA from 1 species